CCUACGGGUGGCAGCAGUGAGGAAUAUUGGUCAAUGGGCUUACGCCUAAACCAGCCAAGUCGCGUGAGGGAAGACUGCCCUAUGGGUUGUAAACCUCUUUUGUCAGGGAGUAACGCCGGCUACGUGUAGCCGGACUGAGAUUACCUGAAGAAAAAGCAUCGCUUAACUCCUUGCCAGCAGCCGCGGUAAUACGGAGGAUGCGAGCGUUAUCCGGAUUUUUGGGGUUUAAAGGGUGCGUAGGCGGAAUGUCACGUCAGCGGUAAAAUCGCGGGGCUCAACCUCGCUCCGCCGUUGAAACUGGCGUGCUUGAGUGGGCGAGAAGUAGGCGGAAUGCGUGGUGUAGCGGUGAAAUGCAUAGAUAUCAUGCAGAACUCCGAUUGCGAAGGCAGCAUACCGGCGCCCAACUGACGCUGAAGCACGAAAGCGUGGGUAUCGAACAGGAUUAGAUACCCUUGUAGUC
rnacentral:rRNA from 1 species